GAUCGGCCCGCGUCUGAUUAGGUAGUUGGUGGGGUAACGGCUUACCAAGCCGAUGAUCCGUAGCUGGUCUGAGAGGAUGAUCAGCCACACUGGGACUGAGACACGGCCCAGACUCCUACGGGAGGCAGCAGUGGGGAAUAUUGGACAAUGGGCGCAAGCCUGAUCCACCAAUGCCGCGUGAGUGAGGAAGGCCUUAGGGUUGUAAAGCUCUUUCCCCCGCAACAAUAAUGACGGUACCGGGAAAAAAAGCCCCGGCUAACUUCGUGCCAACAGCCGCGGUAAUACAAAGGGGGCGAGCGUUGUUCGGAUUUACUGGGCUUAAAGGGCGCGCUUAGCCGGCUUUGUUUGUCAGGCUUGAAAACCCUGGCCUCAACCUGGAAGGUGCGUCUGGGACCGCCAAGCCUUGAAAUCGGAAAAGAAAAGUGAAUUUCCCAGGGUAAAGGUGAAUUUCUAAAAUUUGGGAGAACAACACCGUUGGCGAAGGCGGCUCUCUGGACCAAAACUGACCCUUAGGCCCAAAAGCUUGGGAAGCAAACCGGAUUAGAUCCCCUGGUAGUCCCCGCUUAAAAAAAUUUGUCCAAAACUUUGGGGACCCUAUCUUCUUCGGUGUCCCACCUAACGCGUUAAACCCCCCCCCCUG
rnacentral:rRNA from 1 species